rnacentral:rRNA from 1 species
UACGUAGGGGGCAAGCGUUGUCCGGAUUUAUUGGGCGUAAAGAGCGUGUAGGCGGCUAGAUAGGUCUGUUGUGAAAACUCGAGGCUCAACCUCGAGACGUCGAUGGAAACCAUCUAGCUAGAGUCCGGAAGAGGAGAGUGGAAUUCCUGGUGUAGCGGUGAAAUGCGCAGAUAUCAGGAAGAACACCCGUGGCGAAGGCGGCUUUCUGGGACGGUACUGACGCUGAGACGCGAAAGCGUGGGGAGCGAACAGG